rnacentral:rRNA from 1 species
AACGAACGCUGGCGGCAUGCCUAACACAUGCAAGUCGAACGAGACCUUCGGGUCUAGUGGCGCACGGGUGCGUAACGCGUGGGAACCUGCCCUUAGGUUCGGAAUAACUCCCCGAAAGGGGUGCUAAUACCGGAUAAUUUCUUCGGACCAAAGAUUUAUCGCCUUUGGAUGGGCCCGCGUUGGAUUAGCUAGUUGGUAGGGUAAAAGCCUACCAAGGCGACGAUCCAUAGCUGGUCUGAGAGGAUGAUCAGCCACACUGGGACUGAGACACGGCCCAGACUCCUACGGGAGGCAGGAGUGGGGAAUAUUGGACAAUGGGCGAAAGCCUGAUCCAGCAAUGCCGCGUGAGUGAUGAAGGCCUUAGGGUUGUAAAGCUCUUUUACCCGGGAUGAUAAUGACAGUACCGGGAGAAUAAGCUCCGGCUAACUCCGUG